rnacentral:tRNA from 1 species
UAGGCACGUAGCUCAGGGGGAGAGCGCUACCUUGACGCGGUAGAAGUCGGCGGUUCGAGACCGCCCGUGCCUAU